UUCAUGGAGAGUUUGAUCCUGGCUCAGGACGAACGCUGGCGGCGUGCCUAAUACAUGCAAGUCGAGCGAAUCAAUAAGAGCUUGCUCCGGUUGGUUAGCGGCGGACGGGUGAGUAACACGUGGGCAACCUGCCUGUAAGACUGGGAUAACACCGGGAAACCGGUGCUAAUACCGGAUAAUCCUUUUCCUCUCAUG
rnacentral:rRNA from 1 species